AACGCGAAGAACCUUACCAGCCUUUGACAUCCCGGUCGCGGGCACCAGAGAUGGAGCCCUUCAGUUCGGCUGGACCGGAGACAGGUGCUGCAUGGCUGUCGUCAGCUCGUGUCGUGAGAUGUUGGGUUAAGUCCCGCAACGAGCGCAACCCUCGCCCUUAGUUGCCAUCAUUUAGUUGGGCACUCUAAGGGGACUGCCGGUGAUAAGCCGCGAGGAAGGUGGGGAUGACGUCAAGUCCUCAUGGCCCUUACAGGCUGGGCUACACACGUGCUACAAUGGCGGUGACAAUGGGACGCAAUGGGGAAACCCUGCGCAAAUCUCAAAAAGCCGUCUCAGUUCGGAUUGUGCUCUGCAACUCGAGCACAUGAAGUUGGAAUCGCUAGUAAUCGCAGAUCAGCACGCUGCGGUGAAUACGUUCCCGGGCCUUGUACACACCGACAUA
rnacentral:rRNA from 1 species